GCGCACCAGUCGAGAAACUCCGCAAUGCUCGAAAGAGUGACGGGGGAUUCCAAGUGCCUACGCUUAGCGUAGGCUGUUCAGAUGCCUAAAAAGCAUCUGGAGUAAGGGCUGGGUAAGACGGGUGCCAUCUGCAGUGGUAAUGAAAAACCUUGCUACUGCAAGGCAUAAGCCGCCGCGGUAAUACCCGCAGCCCGAGUGGUAGUCGCUUUUAUUGGGCCUAAAGCGUCCGUAGCCGGUCUGGUAAAUGCCUGGGGUAAAAUCGUGGGGCCUAACCUCACGAAUUCCGGGUAGACUGCCAGACUUGGGACCGGUUGAGGGAGAGGGUACUCCAGGGGCAGGGGUGAAAUCCUGUAAUCCUUGGAGGACCACCGGUGGCGAAAGCGCUCUCCUAGGACGGUCGACGGUGAGGGACGAAAGCCAGGGGAGCAAACCGGAUUAGAUACCCGCGUAGU
rnacentral:rRNA from 1 species